GUGGGGAAUCUUCCGCAAUGGACGAAAGUCUGACGGAGCAACGCCGCGUGAACGAUGACGGCCUUCGGGUUGUAAAGUUCUGUUAUACGGGACGAAUGGUACGACGGUCAAUACCCGUCGUAAGUGACGGUACCGUAAGAGAAAGCCACGGCUAACUACGUGCCAGCAGCCGCGGUAAUACGUAGGUGGCAAGCGUUGUCCGGAAUUAUUGGGCGGAAAGGGCGCGCAGGCGGCGUCGUAAGUCGGUCUUAAACGUGAGGGGCUUAACCCCGUGAGGGGACCGAAACUGCGAAGCUAGAGUAUCGGAGAGGAAAGCGGAAUUCCUAGUGUAGCGGUGAAAUGCGUAGAUAUUAGGAGGAACACCAGUGGCGAAAGCGGCUUUCUGGACGACAACUGACGCUGAGGCGCGAAAGCCAGGGGAGCAAACGGGAUUAGAAACCCUGGUAGUCC
rnacentral:rRNA from 1 species